CCAAACUGUUGCCUCGGCGGGGUCACGCCCCGGGUGCGUAAAAGCCCCGGAACCAGGCGCCCGCCGGAGGAACCAACCAAACUCUUUCUGUAGUCCCCUCGCGGACGUAUUUCUUACAGCUCUGAGCAAAAAUUCAAAAUGAAUCAAAACUUUCAACAACGGAUCUCUUGGUUCUGGCAUCGAUGAAAAACGCAGCGAAAUGCGAUAAGUAAUGUGAAUUGCAGAAUUCAGUGAAUCAUCGAAUCUUUGAACGCACAUUGCGCCCGCCAGUAUUCUGGCGGGCAUGCCUGUCCGAGCGUCAUUUCAACCCUCGAACCCCUCCGGGGGAUCGGCGUUGGGGAUCGGGACCCCUCACCGGGUGCCGGCCCUGAAAUACAGUGGCGGUCUCGCCGCAGCCUCUCCUGCGCAGUAGUUUGCACAACUCGCACCGGGAGCGCGGCGCGUCCACGUCCGUAAAACACCCAACUUCUGAAAUGUUGACCUCGGAUCAGGUAGGAAUACCCGCUGAACUUAAACAUAUCAAUAAGCGGAGGAAGGA
rnacentral:rRNA from 1 species